CCCACAAAAACAAAAACUGUUACGUUAAAUCAUCUCCUAAACUGGUAUGAAUGUGUGCAACUGUUUCUCUGAGCUUUUGCAGAAUGCUUCAUUUUAUUAACAAUGCAAAACACUGACAACUUCAGGUAAACACUGCAAAACCACAAAAUCUUACCAAGUAUUUUUGGUCUACUUCUACUGCAAAUGUCUGAGUUCACUGGAAAAAAGACAAAACUAACUUACAAGUAACUUUUCAUCCAGAUAGGGGCUUGUUAUAACACAGUAAUUACUUAAUAUAGAUGAAAAAACACGAGUCCCACUGGUAGAUAUUUUCUUUAACAAGACAUUUUCCCAUGUUUACGUGCCAGUGGAUCUGGUGCUUUAGUUCUAGUUCCACUGGCAGAUUAUUUCACUUUUUUUACAAUCGUUACCUAGCAACGCUAGGCAAGCCCAGCCCGUCACCUGGCAACCCAGUUCUAGUUCCACUGCAGAUUAUUUCACUUAUCAAGCCUUUGCAAGUAUUCAAUCAUUCGAGGCGGAAUUGGAGUAUUGAACUGCGCAACUGAAAUUGUUCUCCUAAAUUGUUUUUGCCAGUUUAUUCGUGGCUUCUACUUGAUCGAGUCGAGCUAAUUUGUCUGUGAACGCAACACACCUGGUUGGCAUUUACAAGAGUUGGAAAUAGCUAGCUUAGCAUACCUCCUCCCUCUUUACGUGUUGAUCAAAUUGCCACUUUCCCUGAAGUCACACCACAUGAUUUGCAUCACUAUGUCAUAAACAGCGUUUGUCAUUACACCAGAGCAGCAUGAAAAGGUACAAAAGACGAGAUGCUAAUCUGUUUUUUCCAUACAUGCUAGGCUACAUGACGGUGGGCACUGUUGCUAAUAGUUACAUGCGUACCUUCUCCAUAAUGCGAUAUUUGAUAUAUUUCUAAUCAUACCUACUUAUAAAGUAUAUGAAUGUUAAUCUUCUUACCUUCUAAAAAGUGCUGACAAUUCGCGGUUACACCGAGGGCUGACAGUCACUAUGAUUAACGCUGCUAUGUUUCCUCAUUAAAAGUUGAACAAUAAAAUGACAAAUUUGGUUUUCACCCUUGUAUGUGCAGCUGACCGCGACCAUUUUUAAAGUGAAAUUUACUCAAUAAAAGCGAUAUUAGGCUCUACCAGAUGUCCCGCUUUUUGACAGGUUUACUGGAGCGAAUUGGUUGUUUGACGUCCAUCAUGGCGGAGCGGCCGAGUUCUGAAACCGUGACGUCACGCGCAAAGGGUCAAUAACAAACAAACUUUUUUCCAAUGUAUUAGUGAAAUAAUAUGCUAAUCGAACUAGAACUUUUAAAUCAAUAUUAAGGAAUUACUGACUUAAAACAAGUUCUUAUAUCUUGAUGAAAAGUUACUUGUAAGUAUUAGGGACGUAUUUUUCUAUUGAUAAAGUUUUGCGCACAUUUGUAAUGGAAUCGCAGUUUCUGUGGUUAACUUGAUUUGUCUAGAAUGGCUUUGUAAACAUUUCCAAACAGAUUUCAGGGACUUUUGCUUUUCAUCGUUCUUGAAUUUCUUUAUAUCAGGGUAUAUACGUUGCUUUUUUGAGAAUUUUGAGUCUAGUUCCUGUUGUCAGUGAAUACAAAUGACUGAUUUUAAGAUCUUGCAGAAUCAAAUUGAACCCAGUAGAACGAGAAUCUGCCUUACUGUAAAUACUGUGUGCAUAAACAAGGAAUUUUACUUUGGUUUCAAGCUCACAGUUUGAAAAAAUGGGCAGAUAAUUCAAAACAUUUUCACUUGGGAGUUUAAGUUUUGUUUUACAGUUGAAUCAAAUCAUUUGUGAAUGUUUUUUUUAUAUUAAAAUGUAGUUAUUUGAAACAUUUAAUUCAGGGCUGCCCAACACUACAGUUCGGGUGCCGUUUGUAGCCUUUUUUAAUGAUUUCAUUAAUAGCAGAGAUUUACUGAUUUUUACUGAUUCAAAAAAAUAAAAAUGCAGACAAAUCAGUGUUAAAAGAGAAAACUUAAACAACAACAUAAAUUAUUCAUCUCUUAUUAACUACAUUUCUUGCAUUCAUUUGAAUUUAACUGUUAUAUAGCAUCACAAACGGCUAAAAAGGAGGGUUUAAAUUACAAAAGAAAAACUUGGAUCAAGUUCUUUUAGCCCAGAAUACAUCAAGAAUAAUUUACAGAUUAGAGUAUGUUUCAUUUAAAUAUUGUGUAGUUUGUUUUAACAAUAAAAACUUUUGGACACGCCAAAUUUAAGGGCAACAAAAAAAAAAA